UUUUAAUCAGGGUACACAAGAGACGGCUCUUCUUCUCCUUCUGCUGUAGCUUCUUCUCCAUCUCACUCCUCUCGUGAUUCCGUGAUUCCUCCAAAAUGGCGUCACUUCUCCACACGUUUUCGUCUCAAUUAUCUCUCAGGCUCAGAAUAGACUGAUGAACAAGACGACAGCACAGCUUCUCCGCGAGACCUGACGAAGCCACCGACCUGUUUCAUGACUCCAUUCUUCUCAAAGAGAAGAAGAUCGAUGAGGAAGGUGAUCUUCUUCCUGAGUUCGUUGAUGAUGAAGAAAGGAUGGUUUGAUCUAGCUAGUGCUCGACACUCUAUGGGAACUUUACGUAUCAACAGCACUCUCUUAGACCUCAAGGAUCAUUCUGCGGCUUCAACAUUGCAAGUGACUGACCAAGAGGACAUAUACUUAUAUGUCUAUUACCAACCCGCUAGAGUUGAGUAAACGCUUCUGUGACAGAGUAUUUGGUUGAUAUGGGUGCUCUCAACUGCCUCCUUCCCACCGACCAGCCUCGACUCAGCGAACAUAUGGAUGACAUCAUUAAGAUGAUUGAAAAGAUUAUUGAGAAUGAUUGUGGGUAUGUUAUGGAAGGAGGCGAUGUGUUCUUCUCUGUCGACAAAUCACUAGACUAUGGUAAGUUGUCAGGUCAGCGGAUGGAACAUACACGGGCUAGUGAGCGAGAAUCACUAGACUAUGGCCUUGGGAUGAAGAAUUUUCUUUGGUGAAUUGCAGAACUUUUAAGUUAGGUGAUAUGUAUAGCCUUUGUAUGUUGAGUUUGAGACAUCAGCCUUUGUAGCAGGGUUUGAGUAUUGAUCAUAGUCUGAGAGCAAGGGAUACCAUCAAUUAAGCAUUAAUCAUGUUUUUCAUUUCCUUGUUUUUAAUGAAAGUGUAUUCACAAGAUCAAAUGUUACUUCUUAAGUUGUUUCAA